rnacentral:rRNA from 1 species
UACGUAGGGUGCGAGCGUUGUCCGGAAUUAUUGGGCGUAAAGAGCUCGUAGGCGGUCUGUCGCGUCGGAUGUGAAAGCCCGGGGCUUAACUCCGGGUCUGCAUUCGAUACGGGCAGACUAGAGUGUGGUAGGGGAGAUCGGAAUUCCUGGUGUAGCGGUGAAAUGCGCAGAUAUCAGGAGGAACACCGGUGGCGAAGGCGGAUCUCUGGGCCAUUACUGACGCUGAGGGCAAGCGAAGGGCG